rnacentral:rRNA from 1 species
UAACCAGCGUCAAGCAGAAACGACUAUAUAUUAUAAUUUUUGAAGUUUCUGCUUCACGCCAAAUCAAGUGCCAACACAAAGGGAGCUGAGUAUUGAAUGUUGAAUGCAGGAUAGCGGCGGACGGGUGAGUAACGCGUGGGCAACCUGCCUCAUACAGGGGGAUAACACAGGGAAACUUGUGCUAAUACCGCAUAAUAUCAUUGGGUGGCAUCACCUGAUGAUCAAAGGAGAAAUCCGGUAUGAGAUGGGCCCGCGUCCGAUUAGCUAGUUGGUGAGGUAACGGCUCACCAAGGCGACGAUCGGUAGCCGAACUGAGAGGUUGAUCGGCCACAUUGGGACUGAGACACGGCCCAGACUCCUACGGGAGGCAGCAGUGGGGAAUAUUGCGCAAUGGGGGAAACCCUGACGCAGCAACGCCGCGUGAAGGAAGAAGGCCUUCGGGUUGUAAACUUCUUUGAUUGGGGACGAAGGAAGUGACGGUACCCAAAAAACAAGCCACCGGCCUAACUACGUG